CCUACGGGUGACAGCAGUGAGGAAUAUUGGUCAAUGGGCGAUAGCCUGAACCAGCGAAGUCGCGUGAGGGAUGACGGCCCUAUGGGUGGUAAACUUCUUUUAUGUGGGAGUAAAUUGCGGUAUGUAUACUGCUUUCCAUGUACCUUAUGAAUAAGGAUCGGCUAAAUCCGUGGCAGCAGCCGCGGUAAUCCGGAGGAACCGGGCGUUAUCCGGAUUUAGGGGGGUGAAAGGGAGGGUUGGCGGGUUGUCAAGUCUGUUGUGAAAGUCUGCGGGUUAACCUUGUACUUGCAUUUGAUACUGGCAGCCUUGAGUGAAGUAGAGGUAGGCGGAAUUCGUGGUGUAGCGGUGAAAUGCUUAGAUAUCACGAAGAACUCCGAUGGCGAAGGCAGCCUGCUGGACUGUAACUGACGCUGAGGCUCGAAAGCGUGGGUAGCAAACAGGAUUAGAUACCCGGGUAGUC
rnacentral:rRNA from 1 species